AGACGUGAAUCAAAGCAUCAUUGACUACAUUGGCAAGUUUGCAGUUACAUUGCUGAGGACUGCAUAUUUUUCUGUUUUGCUCAUCUCCAGAAUAUUUAGAGUUGCCUGUGAGUUACCAUGCACUUUGAUGUGAUGUUGAGAAACAAUAUGUAUGGAUUAGUGCAUUUGCUCAACGAAUGUGGAUGCAGCUCCUGCAACAUCUCAAGUAUGCUUCUAUGCAUUGGGGAACCACAGUGAAUGGACAGAGAAGAUGCCUGCACUUAUGGAACUCCCAGCCUAGCUCACAGCUAAACGUCCUUGAGGUCUAUCCAAGUUGCUGGUGGAUUAACAGUUAUUCCUCCUGAAUUGCUGAGCAGAAUUCCAGAAGACAAAAGAAACGUGUCUGUGAUCGCAUCCAGCAGAACAACCAAGGACCCACUCCCUCACCCUCUGCGCUGUCUCAAAUGUCUACAUACGACAAUAGCAAAACAGACUGCAAAUAUGACCCACUGCUUUUACAAUGUUAAAAUCAACUGAAAUGAUAUUCUGACAACAGCUUUUCUCACAGAUUACUAGACAUCUCUGCCAAAGGAAAUUAAAACACGUCUCC